rnacentral:rRNA from 1 species
GACAUUCUUGGUCAUUUAGAGGAAGUAAAAGUCGUAACAAGGUCUCCGUUGGUGAACCAGCGGAGGGAUCAUUACAGAGUUGCAAAACUCCCAAACCAUUGUGAACGUUACCUUCAAACCGUUGCUUCGGCGGGCGGCCCGGGUCCGCCCGGUGCCCCCUGGCCCCCUCGCGGGGCGCCCGCCGGAGGAAACCCAACUCUUGAUACAUUAUGGCCUCUCUGAGUCUUCUGUACUGAAUAAGUCAAAACUUUCAACAACGGAUCUCUUGGUUCUGGCAUCGAUGAAGAACGCAGCGAAAUGCGAUAAGUAAUGUGAAUUGCAGAAUUCAGUGAAUCAUCGAAUCUUUGAACGCACAUUGCGCCCGCCAGUAUUCUGGCGGGCAUGCCUGUUCGAGCGUCAUUUCAACCAUCAAGCCCCAGGCUUGUGUUGGGGACCUGCGGCUGCCGCAGGCCCUGAAAACCAGUGGCGGGCUCGCUGUCACACCGGGCGUAGUAGAUUUUAUCUCGCUCAGGGCGUGCUGCGGGUUCCGGCCGUUAAAAAGCCUUUUUUACCCAAGGUUGACCUCGGAUCAGGUAGGAAGACCCGCUGAACUUAAGCAUAUCAAUAAGCGGAGGAAAUGUCUGAAUUCG